CCUGUGUGUGUGCCUCUGUAUGUGCCUGUGUGUGUGCAUGUGUGUGUACCUGUGUGUGCCUCUGGGUGUGCCUGUGUGUGCCUGUGCGUGUGGCUGUGCAUAUGUGUGUGUGCCUGUGUGUGUGUACACGUGUAGCUCACAGCCAUUGCUGUGAACUCUGGACCUUGGUGACUUUGCUGUGUCCUUUGCUGUACCCAGCGGUGAUCUCUGUCUCUGUUUUCCUAAAUUUCAUCUCUCGCUAAUAAGUGCUUUGAGUGCUUCUUUUCCAUGUCUAUGUGUGUUCAUGCUCAUUCUACCACCUGUUAUCACUCCUCACUGCUCUCAGCAGACCCCAAAUCGUCAUCUUUUUCAGGAAAUCCUAGAUCAGGAAUAAACCUCAGCAUAUUGAGAAUUGUGUCCUCUGAGUUAGAUAAGAACGAAGAGGAAACAUUAUCCAGAGUUUCAUAACACAGGGUCCAUAGAUGUCUUUAGGAUGGAUAAAAUCAUAUAAAAUCAUAAAUCAUAUGUGAAGUGUGUGUGUGUGAUCAUAUUAUUGAAUGAACCUAGUGAGGUUAAAUAAGAAAAAGUAAAUUUGUUUUUUAUCUCAACAGGAGCACCCCUAAGCUAUGUUCGGCCUUUGUACUGAGAGAGGAAGUUGCAUCUCUGGGUGGACACAGCCUGUGGCUCCUGUUGUACAAAGGGCCAGGCCCAGGAGAAGAAUGGAUUGGAGAAGGGACACCAUGUUUCACAGCUGUGACAUUUGCCAUCGGGCCUCAGGACACCCAAUGGCAGAGGUACCGUUACUGACUUUUGCAUUGAUUGGUGCGUUAGUGUUCUUGGAUGUUCCUCCCCCAGCAUCCUCCAAUGCAUGUCCAUCACUGUGCGUCCUGCUUCUGCAGCCAUCCACUCUUCUCUCUCAGUCUCCGGAACUGCCCUGCCCUCCCUGUGCAGACUCUAAAUGUCAGGGUGUCUUAGCAUCCCCCACACAGUUCAUGUGGAUGAAGUGAAUUUUAGAUGCCCCAAGCCAACUCCCUAGCAUGGGCCCCACAACAGGACACAGAAAACACACACCUGGAAACCAACAUUGCUGGAACUCCUAGUUUGCCAUCAGGUUGACAAAAGAAACCUGUCUUUCACUUUUAAACCUUUCCCAGGGGCAUAUUAAAUACCUGUCCUCACUUUUCCCAGAGUCUGGUGAUGUGUGCAAUAUCCUCUUGAGUUCUCACUUGCCGUUAAGUGAAGGGAAAACAACUCCCCAAGAAAGGUUAGGAAACUGUAAGUCAUGCAGCCUAUGCCAUCAAAAGAAAUCUUCCCCCACCUCCCCCACCUCCAACCCCAGGUCUUUACACGGGCUGGAUGCAAGUGAUGGUGAUGCCAGACAGCCCUUCUCACCUAUUUAGCCAUGCCCUUACCCAGGGGCCCAGCAGAUUCUCAGUGAUGCUGUAAAACCUUUUCAUGCUCCCUUGGUGUGUCUCAGUUUGACUGUCCAGUGGGUGAUGGCAAUCCUAGUGUCAGAAGCAUUUGAACCAGAGCAACUCCAUCUUGAACAGAGGGUGAGUAAAAUGAGGCUGAGACCUACUGGACUGCAUUUCCAGAUGGUUAAGGCAUUCUAAGUCACAGGAUGAGAUAAGAGGUCAGCACAAGAUACAGGUCAUAAAGACUUUGCUGAUAAAACAGUUUGCAGUAAAGUAGCCAGCAGAAACCUUCCAAAACCAAGAUGACCACAAGAGUGACCUCUAGUCUUCCUCUGCUACAUUCCCGCUAGCGCCUUGACAGUUUACAAAUGCCCUGGCAAUGUCAGGAAGUCACCCUAUAUGGUCUAAAAAGGGUAGGCAUGAAUAAUUCAACCCUUGUUUAGCAAAUUAUCAACAAAUAACCAUAAAAAUGGGCAACCAGCAGUCCUUGGGGAUACUGUGUCUAUGGAAUAGCCAUCCUUUUAUUCCUUUACUUUCUUAAUAAACUUGCUUUCACUUUAUGAACUUGUCCUGAAUUCUUUCUUGCAUGAGAUCCAAGAAGCCUCUCUUGCAGUCUGGAUCCAGACCCCUUUCCAGUAACACUAAGAACCCGCUCAUCUUCUCUUGGCAGGUCCUGGCAGGUGGUCCUGAGGAUCCUGCCAGGAAGAGAUGACUACCCCUUGGCAACUCUUGCUUUAUUACUGGCCUUGGGACAUCGUCAGAAUGGAGAUAUUUUGACAUCCCACUGUAUGUGAACAUAUCGAGCAAUGAAUCAGCAUUUACGUCAUCAGCUGGGACAUGACUUCCAAAAGAUCAGAGCCCUUUGCGUUGGCAAGUGCAGCCUAUCUCAUUGAUCUGUGAUAAUUCAUGGGAAAACACACACCUCACUUCACAUCAUCUGUCCUGUGUUUUCCUGUCUCAAUCUUGGAACUCUAAACUAAAAGCUGCCCAGUUACGAUGACCGUGAUGGCCCACAACUAAAUUACAGGGCAUAAGGUUAUCUUAAAGGACAAUGUUUUACGAAGGCCAUGCCAUGCUGGCGUGUGAGAUUGGAGAUGCACUGCCGCAAACUAAGUCCUGGUUCAAAUCAGCAAUCAUUACGUUAGCUUUACACAUUUUGAGAUAUUAAAACACAGAUCAAUGGAUGGAGAAUAACAUUAAAUUUGCCAAAUAUAUAGUUUGAUGAAUUGGCUUCAGAUCCCUACAAAAAGAAAAAGAAAAGUCUGCUGGCGUUAUAUUUUCAUAAUUGAUUUUUUUUUUUUUUUUUGAGAUGGAGUCUUCCUCUGUCACCCAGGCUGGAGUGCAGUGGCAUAAUCUCAGCUCACUGCAACCUCCGCCUCCUGGAUUCAAGCAAUUCUCCUCCCUCAGCCUCCCGAGUAGCUGGAAUUACAGCCAUGAGCCAUCUUGCCUGGCUAAUUUUUCUACUUUUAGUAGACAGGGUUUUGCCAUGUUGGCCAAGCUGGUCUUAAACUCCUGACUUCAAACGAUUUGCCUGCCUUGGCCUCCCAAAGUGCUGAGAUUACAGGCGUGAGCCACCAUGCCCAGCCUAAUAUUUAUUUUUAUUAUUCAGUUGAUUAUAAUGAAUCUUUACCUUUAAUUUGAAGUGAGAAUAUGAUAAUAUGAUAAAAAUAUAUAGAUAUCAUCUUUAUUGUACUGAAUCAACUAAUUGUUUUUAAAGCAGGAUUUAUGCUUUAGAAAAAGAGUAUCCAUGUUCUUUUCUUAAAUUAACCAAGUCCUUGAUACAAAUACUCUCCAAACUCUAUCUUCA
rnacentral:lncRNA from 1 species